rnacentral:rRNA from 1 species
GACGAACGCUGGCGGCGUGCCUAAUACAUGCAAGUUGAGCGCUGAAGGUUGGUACUUGUACCCACUGGAUGAGCAGCGAACGGGUGAGUAACGCGUGGGGAAUCUGCCUUUGAGCGGGGGACAACAUUUGGAAACGAAUGCUAAUACCGCAUAAAAACUUUAAACACAAGUUUUAAGUUUGAAAGAUGCAAUUGCAUCACUCAAAGAUGAUCCCGCGUUGUAUUAGCUAGUUGGUGAGGUAAAGGCUCACCAAGGCGAUGAUACAUAGCCGACCUGAGAGGGGGAUCGGCCACAUUGGGACUGAGAAACGGCCCAAAAUCCUACGGGAGGCAGCAGUAGGGAAUCUUCGGCAAUGGACGAAAGUCUGACCGGGCAACGCCGCGGGAGUGAAGAAGGUUUUCGGAUCGGAAAAAUCUGUUGGUAGAGAAGAACGUUGGUGGGAGUGGAAAGCGCAUCAAGUGACGGUAACUACCCAGAAAGGGACGGCUAACUACGUG